rnacentral:rRNA from 1 species
CCUACGGGGGGCUGCAGUAAGGAAUUUUCGGCAAUGGGCGCAAGCCUGACCGAGCAACGCCGCGUGGAGGAUGACGGCCUUCGGGUUGUAAACUCCUUUUGCGGGGGAUGAUAAUGACCGUACCCCGCGAAUCAGGCUCGGCUAACUCUGUGCCAGCAGCCGCGGUAAGACAGAGGAGCCAAGCGUUGUCCGGAUUGACUGGGCGUAAAGCGCACGCAGGCGGUUGCGCGCGUGGGGUGUGAAAGCGAGCCGCUUAACGGCUCGAGGCCAUCCCAUACGGCGCAACUCGAGAGUGGCAGAGGUUCGUGGAAUUGCCGGUGUAGUGGUGAAAUGCGUAGAGAUCGGCAGGAACACCAAGGGGGAAACCAGCGAACUGGGCCAUAUCUGACGCUCAGGUGCGAAAGCGUGGGGAGCGAACCGGCUUAGAUACCCUAGUAGUC